rnacentral:rRNA from 1 species
UUUAGGAGUUUCAGAUUUUUAGGUGGGGCACCUAUUAAGUAAUAUUAACCUUAGUGUACGAUAAAACUUUCAAGUAUAGACCCGACAAUGUCGAUCAUAGGAGAAGUUACGCCGGGGAUAACAGGCUAAUCCACUAGUAGAGAACGUAUUGGCUAGUGGGAUUGGUACCUCGAUGUUGAAUCAGGGAUGAUACCUCUAAGGCGUAGAAGCUUUGGAAGUGGGUCUGUUCGACCUUUAAUACCCUACGUGAUUUGAGUUCAGACCGGCGUAAGCCAGGUCGGUUUCUAUCUUCUUUUUGAAUAUUCUUUUAGCAUGUACCUCGGCCGGGACCACGCAU